GGGUGGAGUUACGGGUUUUUGGCUCUCCCACUAGUUUUGAUUUUCAGCCCUCUGCCCUUCCUUGGGAAAGGAGUUUUCAGAGUUGCCAAGAGGGUUCUCCUUUCCAUUAAACCUGCCGUCUCUCACCCAGGGAGCUCCAACUAUCUCGAAGGCAUUGGUUAGGGCACUGGCACUGGAAAAGUUCAGAAUGUCUUUGGGGGGAGUCUUGUACGUUGAGCUAGAGAAAUCUCUUUCAGAAUGGCACUGGGUCUUAAUUUCAUUGUUUUGCCAGCAGGUCCGCCUUUAGAGAGGAAGAGCUGAGAAGGCGAUUCUCAUCGUAUCAGCCUCUUGGAUCAUUUUUAAUCUUGACACGGGGCAAGAGUCAAAGAUCCGAACGUAGAAAACCUGGCUCCGUGACAUCAAAACAGGAUGCGAAAAGCAUGGAAAAAAGAGUUACCCCGGUAAACGCCGGAGGUAUUUGCAUCCUGUGGACUUGGGGAGUCGCCCCAGUAUGAUAGGUUGAAAUUCAGAAAUGGAGAAUUUAGGCUGAGACCCUGGAACAGUUUCUUACAGAUAUCAUCUUUGAGUCUGAAAAGGAAGUGGUAGAAGUCUCGUUCUUUGGGUCAUUAAAAUUGUGACUCGACAAAGCCCGGGGAAACUGUUUGCCUGGAAGCAGGCUUGCACCGUGAGUCCAGAGGUUGUGCUUCCACGAUCGCUGAAAUUUGAGCAGGGCGGACACCAGCGCAGAUGACGGGCAGCCACGAAUCCCUUCACUAUUGACCCUGGGAUCCAGCUACAUGGAAAGGAAGCUGCCCCGUCCCUCAGGACACCAGGGCUCCCAUCAGCUCCCGCUCCAGCCCGGAGAAGGCCUGGACAGGGAGGUCUCCGCCUAAGGAAUGUCUUGAGCAGUUCACCGCUGUUUCUGGAACUGUUGGUCUAAUCCGUGAGGAGUCUGAAA